rnacentral:tRNA from 1 species
CGCGGGAUGGAGCAGUGGUAGCUCGUUGGGCUCAUAACCCAAAGGUCGUCGGUUCGAGUCCGGCUCCCGCAA